GAUUGUAUUCUUAUUUUAGAUUGUGAGAUGAACUGGCGUCAUUAUAUUUUAAUUGUAUAGUUUCACAUUGAUUUAGAUUCUAUAAUUAAGAAAUAUAUAUUAAGUUUUAUUUUAUUCCAAAUUAUGUUUUCUAGAGAGAAGAGGACUGCACGGGGCCCAAUAGAACCCGAAACAGCCCAAAUUAACAAAAAAUAAUCAGUCCAGUUACAUUAAACACAACAAACCUAAACCCUAGCCCAGGAAAUUAAAAAAUUUCAGCAACAGAGAACCCUAGCUGCUGCUUGCCCCCAAGCCUCCAAGCGCCGCAUGCUGCCAGGCUCACUCAUGCACGCUUCUGACCACAGCCGUCGGCCUCGUCUGACACCUGCAGAGAAGAAUGAAUGCAAGCAACAGAAGAAUACAAAGAAAUAAAGAGCAAAAAACAAAAAAAUGAGAAUGAACAGUUGUAAUAGGGCUAUAAAAGCCAAGAUCUAAUCGUUGUAUUUUUUACGAAGGCACAUCAAGAAAUCAAAAUAAAACAGAGUUUUCAAAGGUUGAAUCCUUGCAAUUUCCUCUUUGUUUUCUCUUACUUAUUUGUUUUAUCUUAUUUUAUUUUAUAUUUUUUUUUUCUUUUGCAAAUCUAUUUCAAAUAACUAAAAAUCAAAAAGCAAAAAUAAAGGGGAGGGGAGCUCACCGGGUGGCCGUGGUUGCGCCGUCGGAGGAUCUCUCCUCCGUCGCCCGAAUCGGGUCCAAGCGGUCGUGGACCUCCUUUGUUUUCGACUCCCGUGGGUUGAGAGAGCUUUGGCUUUCAAGGAUACCGUGAAACAGGGGCUAACGGGACCACUUUCCGGCACCGGUCGCCGAACACGUUGGUGGCGCGACGGAGGUCUUGGGAGGCCGUCGGCCUAGCAGAGAAAGGGAGUCUCCCUUUUGUUUUAUUUUUAUUUUUAUUUUGUUUUUGUGUAUUCUUUGCAAAAGAAUGAAACGGCAGGAGUAAAAAUUGUUGCUUUUAUGGUAAUUAUUACCCUAAUGGGUAUUUUGCGC
rnacentral:lncRNA from 1 species